AUUGAACGCUGGCGGCAGGCCUAACACAUGCAAGUCGAACGAACUCUUCGGAGUUAGUGGCGGACGGGUGAGUAACACGUGGGAACGUGCCUUUAGGUUCGGAAUAGCUCCUGGAAACGGGUGGUAAUGCCGAAUGUGCCCUUCGGGGGAAAGAUUUAUCGCCUUUAGAGCGGCCCGCGUCUGAUUAGCUAGUUGGUGAGGUAAUGGCUCACCAAGGCGACGAUCAGUAGCUGGUCUGAGAGGAUGACCAGCCACACUGGGACUGAGACACGGCCCAGACUCCUACGGGAGGCAGCAGUGGGGAAUCUUGCGCAAUGGGCGAAAGCCUGACGCAGCCAUGCCGCGUGAAUGAUGAAGGUCUUAGGAUUGUAAAAUUCUUUCACCGGGGACGAUAAUGACGGUACCCGGAGAAGAAGCCCCGGCUAACUUCGUGCCAGCCGCCGCAUAAUAC
rnacentral:rRNA from 1 species